UGCUGCGAGCGCGCCUAUAGAGAUCUUCCACAAUGGACGCAAGUUUUGUUGGAGGCAACGCCGCGUGAGUGAAGAAGGCUUUCGGGUCGUAAAACUCUGUUGUUGGAGAAGAAUGGUCGGCAGAGUAACUGUUGCCGGCGUGACGGUAUCCAACCAGAAAGCCACGGCUAACUACGUGCCAGCAGCCGCGGUAAUACGUAGGUGGCAAGCGUUAUCCGGAUUUAUUGGGCGUAAAGCGAGCGCAGGCGGUUUUUUAAGUCUGAUGUGAAAGCCCUCGGCUUAACCGAGGAAGCGCAUCGGAAACUGGGAAACUUGAGUGCAGAAGAGGACAGUGGAACUCCAUGUGUAGCGGUGAAAUGCGUAGAUAUAUGGAAGAACACCAGUGGCGAAGGCGGCUGUCUGGUCUGUAACUGACGCUGAGGCUCGAAAGCAUGGGUAGCGAACAGGAUUAGAUACCCUGGUAGUCCAUGCCGUAAACGAUGAAUGCUAGGUGUUGGAGGGUUUCCGCCCUUCAGUGCCGCAGCUAACGCAUUAAGCAUUCCGCCUGGGGAGUACGACCGCAAGGUUGAAACUCAAAGGAAUUGACGGGGGCCCGCACAAGCGGUGGAGCAUGUGGUUUAAUUCGAAGCAACGCGAAGAACCUUACCAGGUCUUGACAUCUUUUGAUCACCUGAGAGAUCAGGUUUCCCCUUCGGGGGCAAAAUGACAGUGAGGUGCUAUGGUGUCCGUUCCACCA
rnacentral:rRNA from 2 species